AAAUUUAGGUUAAAUAGACCAAGAGCCUUCAAAGCUCUAAGAAAGUAAGCACUACUUAAUUUCUG
rnacentral:tRNA from 1 species